rnacentral:rRNA from 1 species
GGGUCCGAGCGUUAAUCGGAAUUACUGGGCGUAAAGCGCAUGCAGGUGGUUUGUUAAGUCAGAUGUGAAAGCCCGGGGUUCAACCUCGGAAUUGCAUUUGAAACUGGCAAACUAGAGUACUGUAGAGGGGGGUAGAAUUUCAGGUGUAGCGGUGAAAUGCGUAGAGAUCUGAAGGAAUACCGGUGGCGAAGGCGGCCCCCUGGACAGAUACUGACACUCAGAUGCGAAAGCGUGGGGAGCAAACAGGAUUAGAUACCCUGGUAGUCCACGCCGUAAACGAUGUCUACUUGGAGGUUGUGGCCUUGAGCCGUGGCUUUCGGAGCUAACGCGUUAAGUAGACCGCCUGGGGAGUACGGUCGCAAGAUUAAAACUCAAAUGAAUUGACGGGGGCCCGCACAAGCGGUGGAGCAUGUGGUUUAAUUCGAUGCAACGCGAAGAACCUUACCUACUCUUGACAUCUACAGAAGCCAGCGGAGACGCAGGUGUGCCUUCGGGAACUGUAAGACAGGUGCUGCAUGGCUGUCGUCAGCUCGUGUUGUGAAAUGUUGGGUUAAGUCCCGCAACGAGCGCAACCCUUAUCCUUGUUUGCCAGCACUUCGGGUGGGAACUCCAGGGAGACUGCCGGUGAUAAACCGGAGGAAGGUGGGGACGACGUCAAGUCAUUAUGGCCCUUACGAGUAGGGCUACACACGUGCUACAAUGGCGCAUACAGAGGGCGGCCAACUUGCGAAAGUGAGCGAAUCCCAAAAAGUGCGUCGUAGUCCGGAUUGGAGUCUGCAACUCGACUCCAUGAAGUCGGAAUCGCUAGUAAUCGUGGAUCAGAAUGCCACGGUGAAUACGUUCCUGGGCCUUGUACACACCGCCCGUCACACCAUGGGAGUGGGCUGCAAAAGAAGUGGGUAGUUUAACCUUCGGGAGGACGCUCACCACUUUGUGGUUCAUGACUGGGGUGAAGUCGUAACAAGGGAACCG